CGCGUCUGCUCGGGAGAAGCCCUCGUGGCUGCCGAAGGAGCAAUCCCUCCCCGGAAUCUCUCAGGCCCCCGUACCGAGCCGACAUG
rnacentral:ncRNA from 1 species